rnacentral:lncRNA from 1 species
UUUUCCUCUUUCUCCUCUUCAUGGCCUUUUUCCUGUGCCUUGGAUAAACAAAUGGCAAUGAUUUCGAGCCUGACUCUUCCAAAGUAGCUUGAUCUAAUGCCCUAUGUUUUUUCCCAUCAAGCGCUGAUAUCUCUCUGUUGUACCUUGCUGCCUGCAACUGAAGGUCUUUCAUCUUGAGUUCUGCCCAUUUACACCGCCACAUUAUGGGAUGUAUAAAGUCUCUCCAGUGAGCAGUUAACUUUUUCUUCCU